UACCCGCAGCACAAGUGGUGGUCAUUAUUAUUGGGCCUAAAGCGUCCGUAGCUGGCGUGUUAGAUGCCUGGGUAAAUCGAUGCGCUCAACGUAUCGAAUUCCGGGUAGACCGGCACGCUCGAGACCGGGAGAGGUGUAGGCUACUCGCGGGGUAGGGGUAAAAUCCUGUAAUCCUGCGGGGAGGACCAGUGGCGAAGGCGCUACACUAGAACGGCUCUGACAGUGAGGGACGAAGCCAUGGGGCGCAAACCGG
rnacentral:rRNA from 1 species